GAUGAACGCUAGCGGGAGGCCUAACACAUGCAAGCCGAGCGGGAUUUGUUGGUUAGCUUGCUAACUAACAAUGAGAGCGGCGUACGGGUGCGUAGCACGUGUGCAACCUGCCUUUAUCUGGGGGAUAGCCUUUCGAAAGGAAGAUUAAUACCCCAUAACAUAUUGAUUGGCAUCAGUUAAUAUUGAAAGCUCCGGCGGAUAGUGAUGGGCACGCGUAAGAUUAGCUAGUUGGUGAGGUAACGGCUCACCAAGGCUGCGAUCUUUAGGGGGCCUGAGAGGGUGAUCCCCCACACUGGUACUGAGACACGGACCAGACUCCUACGGGAGGCAGCAGUGAGGAAUAUUGGACAAGGGGGGAGAGCCUGAUCCAGCCAUCCCGCGUGAAGGACUAAGGACCUAUGGGUUGUAAACUUCUUUUAUACAGGGAUAAACCUACUCUCGUGAGGGUAGCUGAAGGUACUGGAUGAAUAAGCACCGGCUAACUCCGUG
rnacentral:rRNA from 1 species